rnacentral:rRNA from 1 species
UACAGAGGUCGCGAGCGUUAGGCGGAAUCACUGGGCUUAAAGCGUGUGUAGGUGGAUGGGUAAGUACCUUGUGAAAUCCCACAGCUUAACUGUGGAACUGCUGGGUAUACUGCCUGUCUUGAGUCACUCAGGGGCGAGCGGAACAGAUGGUGGAGCGGUGAAAUGCGUAGAUAUCAUCUGGAACGCCAAUGGUGAAGACAGCUCGCUGGGGGUGUACUGACACUGAGACACGAAAGCCAGGGGAGCGAACGGG